CCUACGGGAGGCAGCAGUAGGGAAUUUUGCGCAAUGGGCGAAAGCCUGACGCAGCAACGCCGCGUGAUCGAGACGCCCUUCGGGUUGUAAAGAUCUUUUAGUGGGGACGAAACUUGACGGUACCCACAGAGUAAGCACCGGCUAACUCCGUGCCAGCAGCCGCGGUAAUACGGGGGGUGCAAGCGUUAUCCGGAAUCAUUGGGCGUAAAGAGUUCGUAGGCGGCACGGAAAGUCAGGUGUGAAAGGCAGAGGCUCAACUUCUGUACGGCACUGGAUACUGGCAAGCUAGAAUGUGGUAGAGGUAGGGGGAAUUCCUGGUGUAGGGGUGAAAUGCGUAGAUAUCAGGAGGAACAUCGGUGGCGUAGGCGCUUUACUGGACCGUAAUUGACGCUGAGGAGCGAAAGCGAGGGGAGCAAAUGGGAUUAGAUACCCUAGUAGUC
rnacentral:rRNA from 1 species